GAUGAACGCUGGCGGCGUGCCUAAUACAUGCAAGUCGAGCGAACGGACGAGAAGCUUGCUUUUCUGAUGUUAGCGGCGGACGGGUGAGUAACACGUGGAUAACCUACCUAUAAGACUGGGAUAACUUCGGGAAACCGGAGCUAAUACCGGAUAAUAUUUUGAACCGCAUGGUUCAAAAGUGAAAGACGGUCUUGCUGUCACUUAUAGAUGGAUCCGCGCUGCAUUAGCUAGUUGGUAAGGUAACGGCUUACCAAGGCAACGAUGCAUAGCCGACCUGAGAGGGUGAUCGGCCACACUGGAACUGAGACACGGUCCAGACUCCUCCGGGAGGCAGCAGUAGGGAAUCUUCCGCAGUGGGCAAAAGCCUGACGGAGCCACGGCGCGUGAGUGAUGCAGGUCUUCGGAUCGUAAGACUCUGUUAUUAGGGAAGACCAUAUGUGUAAGUAAAUGUGCAGAUCUUGACGGUACCUAAUCAGAAAGCCCCGGCUAACUACGUG
rnacentral:rRNA from 1 species